rnacentral:rRNA from 1 species
GAUCCUGGCUCAGGACGAACGCUGGCGGCGUGCCUAACACAUGCAAGUCGAACGGAGUCGGCCCCGCAAGGGACUGACUUAGUGGCGAACGGGUGAGUAACGCGUGAGCAACCUGCCUUUCAGUGGGGGACAACAGUUGGAAACGACUGGCUAAUACCGCAUAAAAGCAUUUUGACCGCAUGAUCGAGAUGCCAAAGAUUUAUUGCUGAAAGAUGGGCUCGCGUCUGAUUAGAUAGUUGG